GGGGCUGUUGCUCAGUGGUAGAGUGCUUGCCUUGCACGUGCAAGACCCUGGGUUCGAUUCUCAGCACCACA
rnacentral:tRNA from 1 species